rnacentral:rRNA from 1 species
UACAGAGGGUGCGAGCGUUAAUCGGAUUUACUGGGCGUAAAGCGUGCGUAGGCGGCUCCUUAAGUCGGAUGUGAAAUCCCUGAGCUUAACUUAGGAUUUGCAUUCGAUACUGGGAAGCUAGAGUAUGGGAGAGGAUGGUAGAAUUCCAGGUGUAGCGGUGAAAUGCGUAGAGAUCUGGAGGAAUACCGGUGGCGAAGGCAGCCAUCUGGCCUAAUACUGACGCUGAGGUACGAAAGCAUGGGGAGCAAACAGG